GGAGAGAUGCUCGAGUGGUUGAAGAGGCACGCCUGGAAAGCGUGUAUACCCCUAAAGGGUAUCGGGGGUUCGAAUCCCCCUCUCUCCG
rnacentral:tRNA from 6 species